GGAAUGCGUGGGCCUGGUGGCCCGGCUGGUCUUCAAAACCAGUUUGCGGCCGUAAUGCGGCCGUGGUGGUUCGAUCCCCCCGCAUUCCGC
rnacentral:tRNA from 1 species